UAAACGUGGUUUGCCUUUUCGUUUAUUUAG
rnacentral:piRNA from 1 species